AUGAUGAUGAUGAUGAUGGUGAUGGUGAUGAUGAUGAUAAUGAUGGUGAUGAUGAUGAUGGUGAUGAUGGCAAUGAUGGUGAUGGUGAUGGCAAUGAUGGUGAUGGUGAUGGCGAUGAUGGUGAUGGUGAUGGCGAUGAUGGUGAUGGUGAUGGCGAUGAUGGUGAUGGUGAUGGUGAUGGCGAUGAUGGUGAUGGUGAUGGUGUCAUCUCAUUUUUCUGGUCUUUAAUCUACUCAUGUAUAAAAUGUGAUGACAUGUUGCUGCAAAGUUUAUGAAGUCCUCUAUACCCAUUAUCUCAGAUGAGUCUCACAAGAACACAUGAAGAAACUGAGGCUCAUAGACAUGAUGUGACUUGCCCCAUGGUCCUACAACUAGGAGGAGUUAAAGGGAGGAGUGGAACCCAGAUCUAAGGCUGGAAAAUGACAUACAGAGAGUCAGAGAGACUUGCCUAGGGAGCAACUGUGUGUUGCUUAUUGUGCAGAUAUCUCAGUUCUAAAAAGUUAACCAAGCUGGGCUAUGUAACUAUACUGUGCAUCCAUUCUCCUGAUUCCUACUUUAAGGUUCCUUCCCCUAUAAGGAUGUUUCUCCCCUUCUCUGAAAGGAAGUCACAUUCAGGAAAUGCCUGCUGUUUUGAAGGGAUCCUGCCUAAGUUAUUCUGAGAUUCUUGAUGUUAAGUUAGAACAGAUCCCAGGGGAAAUGGAGUCAUUUUGCAGAAGAGUAAACUGAGGUCUCAGUGGGUAAACUGACUUGCUUAGCCAGUAAAUUAUAAGCCAGGAUUCUCUUUCUCCACAUUGAGCAGCCUAGAGGUAGAGAAAGGUUCCCCACAGAGGGACUGGGGAUCCCUUUGUAUUUGCCUUUCUAGGAGAGACCCUGGCAAGAGCUUGGUUAGGGGAGUUAUUUUGGUCUUGUCAUGAUUGGGAGCUUUGAAGGCAAGAAAUUGAGUGGUGAUUAAGGCCAUAAUAAGUUGACACCAUCAAAUAUCAUUACCCACAGAACAUGCAAAUGAUCAUGUCUUUAGACGGGAUUUGCCAUGCAAAUACCAAUUAGUGAGAAAUGACUUGCCUUCAGAAGGGGAGAUUUGUUCUUCUCACAUCUCCUGCUCCUCCUGCAACCCCUUCCCCAGUCCUGUCCUUCACUUCCUGCAGACAAACAAACAGGAAAUAAAUGUCAGAGUCCCUGGCA
rnacentral:lncRNA from 1 species